AGUGAACGCUGGCGGUAGGCCUAACACAUGCAAGUCGAACGGCGGCACAGUAAGAGCUUGCUCUUACGGGUGGCGAGUGGCGGACGGGUUAGGAAUACAUCGAAAUCUACUUUUUCUGGGGGGGUAACGUAGGGAAACUUACGCUCAUACCGCAUACGACCUACGUGUGAAAUCAGGCGAUCUUCGUAACUUGCGCGAUUGAUUGAGCCGAUGUCGGAUUAUAUAGUUGGCGGGGUAAAGGCCCACCAAGGCUACGUUCCGUAGCUGGUCUGAGAGGAUGGUCAGACACAAUGGAACUGAGACACCGUCCAGACUCCUACGGGAGGAAGGAGUGGGGAAUUUUGAAGAAUGGGGGCAAGCCUGAUCCAUCCCUACCGCGUGAGUGAAGAAGGCCUUCGGGUUUUAAAGCCCUAUUGUUGGGAAAGAAAAGCAGUAUGUUAAUACCCCGCUGUUCUGACGGUACCCAAACAAUAAGCACCGGCUAACUUCGUG
rnacentral:rRNA from 1 species